AAAAUAGCUUCUGUAUAUAUUUGGUACAUAUUUACAUUGUAACAGCUGCAUUCAGUACAGGUGUGCCAUGCUUUUUUUUUGUGGGACUUGACGAACCUUGACAAGUACAUUCAAGCCCCAUUCAUACCUGGUUCUAACAUGAAUCCUUCAUCCUGAUGUAAUCCGUUAUAAGUUCUGAUGAAAAUCAGUUCACAAUACGUCUUUAAAAUGCCUAGACCUGUCUAAAAAUGUGGACACAAUAAUACUGUGGAAGAGAUCAUGACGCAGAUUAGCACCAGGUAUAAACAGGGCUUCAGAGAAAUGCGGAACAGUACAGACAUCUAUCAACACAGGACCUUGGACAAUCACAUAUGAUACAUAGCAGCGAUGCAAAAACCAUGACACUGUCCUAAUCUUAACAUUAUGUACACUCUCACUCCCACAGGCCUGUUUCAUCUGUUGAAGAGGAUUCCCUCUUUACCCCUGGUUGAAGGAAUUAUUAAUCAUAUUAAUUAGCAUAAAAGUGUCAAUAUCAUCCAGCUCAACUCCCAAGACAAUGUAAUGUACCUGGAAUAAUAGACAGAAAGAAAGAGCACCUGAGUGCAUUUAGAAUCAGAACACAACACUGAAGUAAUCUAAUGACGACAAUAUUGCACUUCUGACACACACACAUACCUGUACAUACACACACAUACAUUAGAAAGGUGAAUACACCUUAGACACUAAUAAAGAUUCUUGCAAGUGCAGUGCUCCAGACAGACGUACAAAAAAACAGUGUUUCGCUUUCGCAUCAUCGUCAACAUAUAAAGUGCCAUCUCAUCAGAGGGGACUUGAACAUGGCAGACAGCUGGUUCACAACAGGUGCCAUCUUUGUUCCGAUCCCAACAGCCCUUCAGUUAGGAGAAGUUAACCCACAGACUGACCAAUGACUAAGACAAAUCGUUAAAAGCUCCAUCAAAAAGCAACUACGUCCAGCGCAACACGAACAUAGCGUUCACCCUAAAGGUAGCAGGAAAAAAAGUAAAGGUAACAAAAUAAAAAGCCAUAACAGAAAACAAAGCAAGCUCUUCAUAUGGUUGAUUGAAACUCUGCACUUGAAAUUGCAUGUACCGGUAAUAGAAAUUAUUUAAAAAAUAUAUAUUCAAAGACGGAAGCACAAUUAAAUAUGGCUGCCGUAAAUAGGUGAAACUGACGUGUAAAGGCAACAGCAGGGCAAUGAAGAAGAAAAAGAUGGGGAAAAAGAGAAGAUGGAAUGAGUGAGUGAAAGAGAAAACACUAUCUGGCCUGGCUAACAGGUUAUGCAUAAUAAAGCUUUUUUCUUCCACUACAAUCCCUCUAUCACUCUACCCAUUCUCUGACUAGCACCUAACAGGUGCACUGAUAUGUCCACCAAAGGGUUACGAUGCAUCCAAAAUGGCACCCUAAUCCCUAUAUAGUGGCUAUUCCCUAUAUAGUGGCUAUUCCCUAUAUAGUGGCUAUUCCCUAUAUAGUUGCUAUUCCCUAUAUCGCAGCUGUCGACAAUGUGCCAUUCAAAGGUAAUUUCCGAAUGCGCCGACAUCUGCAACGUUUACCAUGAAUGCAAGCAAUCUCAGCAAAUGUAGGAACAUUGCCUUUAAAAGCUGCAUUGUCAACACAGUGUGAUAAGACUGAAUCCUGGCCUUAGAGAGACAGACAGCAAUAAUACACAUCUCCCAAACACACAUCUACUGACAUCAGGUCUUCCAUACUGCCUAUAAAGACUGCAUGACUAAGAUGAUAUUAUAGGUAACAUGUUUUGAAGUUGCAUAAAUUGUGUCCAUCAUUUCUAUGAUUGUGCACACAAUUAGUCGUUUUUAAAAUUGAGAGGUUCAAAUCACAGAGGCUCAAUUCAGAAGUGGCAUUGACCCUUGUAUAUGUAUAUGCUGCCCUCCUAUCGGUCCUCAGUACCUACUUUCAAUGGAGUGUUUUGCACAAUAGAAUUGCAUCAAGUCGGAAGAGAGGGAUGAAUGGAAAUCACUCUACUGGGCCAUUCUCUGCCACAUGGGGAUUGUGUGGUUGUGAAUAGAUAGUUGUUGUUGUUGUUUGUGUUGUUCCUAAUCACCAUAUUGUAAUGGUCCCUGGAGAUCGCUGUGCUCUGACUGACAACACGCUUUCACAUACAGUACAAAGUGCCUGAGCUGGCAGAGAGAGAGGGAGGGAAACAGAGAAAGGUGGAGGGAUAGAGAGGAAGGGAGACAGAGAAGGAGAGAGUGGUGUGGAGGAAGGGAGAAGGAAAGAGAAAGGGGAAGAGAGGGAGAGAGAAAGAGAGAGUCCCCUCUUUAGCUGUUUGUCACAACCAAACAAAGAAACACACCAUUACAGCUAUUAAAGUUCUGAAAGCUCCCUCUGAUUACAGCACAGUCUAACUGGAGAUUAUCCAUCACACACACUUACACACGCACACACACUUCUAGGGCCGUCCAGGGGCAUUUUGAAGGGAAAAUACAUCCAAAACUUUCCUGAUAAUUUGGUUAAUAUAUCCUAACCACAACUAAAAUACCAAUAAUUUCUGUAUUACUUUAAACUCUUGGUCUAACUCUUAACAUUUCAUAAAGUGACCACCAAACUCCUUUAACUACAUUUAGAUGUCAUAACCAAUUAUAACAUUUGUGCAGCCAUCACCGUGCUUGGAUGAACUGAAUGAACUGCUACUAUUGUUACAUAAAAAUAUGUUAUGAGAAUAACACAAUUAAUCACAUUUAUUUCAUAAAUUAACCUUUUACUAAUCAAGAAACAGUUCAUACAAACACCAUUACCUGGUUUCACUUCCAUUUUGAUAUCGAGAAGAAUGUAUAAAGGACAAAUAAACCAGGUUACUGCUGUGCAAUCUCACAUGCAUCCCUAUCAAUGAAUGGGCCAAUUUCCAAUUCAGUUUUUCUUAAAUUGAAAAAAAAAAACAUUUACUUGGUUCUGGAAGUAUUCUAAGAGUGAUUAAUAGGCUGCAUAAAUAUGAUUAGUGUCCCCCCUUUCACAAUUGUGGGCUUCAAAUGUGUUUUAAGGAGGAUAAGUUGCUGCUUCUUGUCAGAGUCUAGGAGACGGGAAAGAAACAGGCUUGCUUCAUCCUACUGCCUGAGAUUCAGAGAAACAGCCCUUCUCUAAUUCUGUACCCUACUAAAAACAUUAGAGGAUGAAGGGGAGACAAUUAGAGCAAUAGAGAGGAAGAGACCAGUCCACACAGACACCAAACCUUGGGACCACAUCACCUCCACCCUCAAACUCCACUGGCUCCCAGUUCAAUACAGGAUCAUCUUCAAAAUGCUCACAUAGCUUACUGACCUCCUGCACCCCUACACUCCCACCUGUUCACUGCGCUUUUAUGACAUUGGCCUCCUAACCAUCUCUCACACCAGGCUCUACUCCAUGGGAGACAAUGCUUUUAGCAUUGCAGCCCCCCCC
rnacentral:lncRNA from 1 species